UACGUAGGGGGCAAGCGUUGUCCGGAUUCAUUGGGCGUAAAGAGCGUGUAGGCGGCCAGGUAGGUCGGUUGUGAAAACUGGAGGCUCAACCUUCAGAGGUCGACCGAAACCAUCUGGCUAGAGUCCGGGAGAGGAGAGUGGAAUUCCUGGUGUAGCGGUGAAAUGCGCAGAUAUCAGGAAGAACACCCGUGGCGAAAGCGGCUCUCUGGAACGGUUCUGACGCUGAGACGCGAAAGCGUGGGGAGCGAACAGG
rnacentral:rRNA from 1 species